rnacentral:lncRNA from 1 species
AUUGUCCUUCUAGUUCAGAUUGUGAUGGACCUGGAAUGCGACACCAGUUACUCUUAAGUCAAGAACCAAAUGAAGCACCAGAGUACAGAUUAUGGAGGUAUCUGAAGUUGAACUAACUGGAAGCAGGGAACCAUACUAAUAAAGUUCCUUAAGCAGGUUCCUUGUAAAGAUUAACCCAGGGAAGGAUCGAAAGUGGAGAAGACCAGAUCAAGAAAGACCACAUCAAGAUCUGCGGUCAGUUCAAAGGAUUUUUUUGCAUUGGACUGUUUUUUUUUUUUUGGCUUUGACCCUUGCUCGCCCCUGACCUCACUCUUGGACUGCCCUGUUGGAUUUUCAGUUUAUUUUAUUUUAUUUUUUUUGGGUUCUGGGUAGAUGCUAAUAAAUAUUUAGUUGUAAUUAUUUAAAUAAUAUGUUUUUUGUUAAAUAUGCGAUUUCUGUGUUUGUUCUGUCUACUCGUACUUGUUUAUCUUGUUUCUGUAAUUAUCAUUUGUUUAUUUGACUCUUGCCUCGCCUCUGAUCUUGUUUUUGGAUUGCCCUUUAUAUAUCUUUUUAAUUAUUGGUUCUGGUUAUAUGGUUAUAAAAUA